UCGGGUAUGGUGUAACGGCUAACAUUGCCGCCUCUCACAGAUGCGAUGAUAUCGCGGCAGCUCGGGGUUCGAUUCCCCGUACCCGAA
rnacentral:tRNA from 1 species